rnacentral:tRNA from 1 species
GCAGUGGUAGUUUCAGGGGUAGAAUUCUUGCCUUCCAUGCAGGAGACCUGGGUUUGCUUCCUGGCCAGUGCA